rnacentral:rRNA from 1 species
UACGGGGGGUGCGAGCGUUAUCCGGAAUUACUGGGUUUAAAGGGUGCGUAGGCGGCCUGAUAAGUCUGGGGUGAAAGGCCAGGGCUCAACCUUGGGACCGCCUCGGAUACUGUCGGGCUUGAGUGAGGUUGAGGUCGGCGGAAUGCGGCAUGUAGCGGUGAAAUGCAUAGAUAUGCCGUAGAACACCGAUUGCGAAGGCAGCUGACUGGACCUAUACUGACGCUGAGGCACGAAAGCGUGGGGAGCGAACGGG